rnacentral:rRNA from 1 species
UGGGGAAUAUUGCACAAUGGGGGAAACCCUGAUGCAGCGACGCCGCGUGAACGAAGAAGGUAUUCGUAUCGUAAAGUUCUGUCCUAUGGGAAGAUAAUGACAGUACCAUAGAAGAAAGCUCCGGCUAAAUACGUGCCAGCAGCCGCGGUAAUACGUAUGGAGAGAGCGUUGUCCGGAAUUAUUGGGCGUAAAGGGUACGCAGGCGGUUUAAUAAGUCGAAUGUUAAAGAUCGGGGCUCAACCCCGUAAAGCAUUGGAAACUGAUAAACUUGGGUAGUGGAGAGGAAAGUGGAAUUCCUAGUGUGGUGGUGAAAUACGUAGAUAUUACGAGGAAUACCAGUGGCGAAGGCGACUUUCUGGACACAAACUGACGCUGAGGUACGAAAGCGUGGGGAGCAAACAGG